rnacentral:rRNA from 1 species
AGAGUUUGAUCCUGGCUCAGAAUGAACGCUGGCGGCGUGCCUAACACAUGCAAGUCGAACGGGAAUUAUUUGCGAUUACAUCAAGAGUAAUUCUAGUGGCAGACGGGUGAGUAAUACAUGGGUGAUCUGCCUCUGGGAGGAAAAUAACUCGCCGAAAGGCGAGCUAAUGUUCCAUAAGAUCACAAUUCUUCCUCAGAAGAAUAGGGAUUAAAGCUCCGCAAGGGGCACCUGGAGAUGAGCCCGUGGCCUAUCAGCUAGUUGGUGAGGUAAUGGCUCACCAAGGCUAAGACGGGUAUCCGACCUGAAAGGGUGACCGGACACACUGGAACUGAGACACGGUCCAGACUCCUACGGGAGGCAGCAGUGGGGAAUUUUGGACAAUGGGGGCAACCCUGAUCCAGCAACGCCGCGUGAAGGAUGAAGGUCUUCGGAUUGUAAACUUCUUUUGUAGGGGACGAAACAUUCGUUGAAUAAACGAAAUUGACGGUACUCUAUGAAUAAGCCACGGCUAACUUCGUGCCAGCAGCCGCGGUAAUACGAAGGUGGCGAGCGUUAUUCGGAAUUACUAGGCGUAAAGCGCAGGUAGGUGGUUAGGUAAGUUCAUGAUGAAAUCUCCCGGCUUAACCGGGAGGGGUUUAUGAAUACUGCUUGGCUUGAGUGUGGGAGAGGGUGCUGGAAUUCCAGGUGUAGCGGUGAAAUGCGUAGAUAUCCGGAGGAACCCCAGAGGCGAAGGCGGCGCCUGGCUCACAACCGACGCUCAGACACGAUAGCAUGGGUAGCGAACGGGAUUAGAAACCCCGGUAGUCCAUGCCGUAAACGAUGCAUGCUAGGCGCUGGGGGACUGACCCCUUCAGUGCCGUAGGUAACCUGAUAAGCAUGCCGCCUGGGGAGUACGACCGCAAGGUUAAAACUCAAAGGAAUUGACGGGGGCCCGCACAAGCAGCGGAGCGUGUGGUUUAAUUCGAGGCUACACGAAGAACCUUACCUGGGUUUGACAUGGCGUUGAACGAGGGUGAAAGCCUGAGGUCCGCAAGGCAGCGUCACAGGUGCUGCAUGGCUGUCGUCAGCUCGUGCCGUGAGGUGUUCGGUUAAGUCCGCAAACGAGCGCAACCCUCGGUGCUAGUUACAAGUGUCUAGCACUACUGCCCGUGACAAGCGGGAGGAAGGUGGGGAUGACGUCAAGUCAGCAUGGCCUUUAUAUCCAGGGCUACACACACGCUACAAUGGUCGGUACAAUGGGUGGCCAAGCCGCAAGGCGGAGCAAAUCCUCCAAAGCCGAUCUCAGUUCGAAUUGUGGGCUGCAACCCGCCCACAUGGAGCUGGAGUUGCUAGUAACCGCGCGUCAGCCAUAGUGCGGUGAAUACGUUCCCGGGCCUUGUACACACCGCCCGUCACGUCACGGGAGCUGGUCACGCCUGAAGUCGGUGGGCUAACCGCAAGGGGGCAACCGCCGAGGGCAGGGCUGGUGACUGGGACGAAGUCGUAACAAGGUAACC